ensembl:miRNA
GGGCUUGGAGCUCUUGAGGCCUGGCAUGUGGUUACCUUGUACCCAGGCACCAGCAGCUCUGCAAGCCC